rnacentral:rRNA from 1 species
AUACAGUGAUGUGGAGACGGAGCAGUGACACUGCCGCGCCCUGACGGAAUAGGGCGUUUAAGUGCGUAGGCUAUGAGGAAGGCAGGCAAAUCCACCUUCCGAGCUGAACCAUGAAAGUACAGGUAAUCCUUCGGGAUAACUUGAGUGCAGGUAAUCAUACUUCCGAGAAAAUCCGCUAAACUUAAUGUAUAUGCGACCCGUACCGCAAACGGACACACGUGGUCGGGUAGAAUAUACUAAGGCGUUGAGAGAUUCAUGGUUANNNNNNNNNNACGGUCCUAAGGUAGCGAAAUUCCUUGUCGGGUAAGUUCCGACCUGCACGAAUGGUGUAAUGAUCCGGACGCUGUCUCAACCAUGAUCUCAGUGAAAUUGUAGUAUCGGUGAAGAUGCCGAUUACCCGCGAUGGGACGAAAAGACCCCGUGAACCUUUACUACAGCUUAGCAUUGACCUUGGUCAUCCGAUGUGUAGGAUAGGCCGGAGGCUUUGAAGCGGGUGCGCCAGCAUUCGUGGAGCCAUCCUUGAAAUACGGCCCUUUGGCUGUCUGAGGUCUAACGCGCAGUUUGCGCGGACACUGCUUGGUGGGUAGUUUGACUGGGGUGGUCGCCUCCAAAAGCGUAACGGAGGCUUCCAAAGGUGCCCUCGGGCCGAUUGGUAACCGGCCUUAUAGAGUGCAAUGGCAUAAGGGCGCUUGACUGGGAGGCAGACAUGCCGAGCAGGCAGGAAACUGGGGCAUAGUGAUCCGGCGGACGUGUAUGGAAACUCCGUCGCUCAAAGGAUAAAAGGUACUCCGGGGAU